AUUGAACGCUGGCGGCAUGCUUUACACAUGCAAGUCGAACGGUAACAGGCCGCAAGGUGCUGACGAGUGGCGAACGGGUGAGUAAUGCAUCGGAACGUGCCCAGCCGUGGGGGGUAACUACUCGAAAGAGUAGCUAAUACCGCAUACGAUCUAUGGAUGAAAGCGGGGGACCGUAAGGCCUCGCGCGAUUGGAGCGGCCGAUGUCAGAUUAGGUAGUUGGUGGGGUAAAGGCUCACCAAGCCAACGAUCUGUAGCUGGUCUGAGAGGACGACCAGCCACACUGGGACUGAGACACGGCCCAGACUCCUACGGGAGGCAGCAGUGGGGAAUUUUGGACAAUGGGCGCAAGCCUGAUCCAGCAAUGCCGCGUGCAGGAAGAAGGCCUUCGGGUUGUAAACUGCUUUUGUACGGAACGAAACGGCUCUGGUUAAUACCCGGGGCUAAUGACGGUACCGUAAGAAUAAGCACCGGCUAACUACGUG
rnacentral:rRNA from 1 species